UACGAAGGGGGCUAGCGUUGCUCGGAAUCACUGGGCGUAAAGCGCGCGUAGGCGGAUCUUUAAGUCAGGGGUGAAAUCCUGGAGCUCAACUCCAGAACUGCCUUUGAUACUGGGGAUCUCGAGUCCGGGAGAGGUGAGUGGAACUGCGAGUGUAGAGGUGAAAUUCGUAGAUAUUCGCAAGAACACCAGUGGCGAAGGCGGCUCACUGGCCCGGUACUGACGCUGAGGAGCGAAAGCGUGGGUAGCAAACAGG
rnacentral:rRNA from 1 species